UACGUAGGGACCGAGCGUUGUCCGGAUUCAUUGGGCGUAAAGAGCUCGUAGGCGGUUUGUUGCGUCGGCCGUGAAAACCUGCAGCUUAACUGGUCGGCUGCGGCCGAUACGGGCAGACUUGAGUUCGGUAGGGGAGACUGGAAUUCCUGGUGUAGCGGUGAAAUGCGCAGAUAUCAGGAGGAACACCGGUGGCGAAGGCGGGUCUCUGGGCCGAUACUGACGCUGAGGAGCGAAAGCGUGGGGAGCGAACAGG
rnacentral:rRNA from 1 species